UAUGAGUGAGGCAUUGAAGUGGUGGUGACAAGAAGACAAGGAAGCAGAAUAUCAUAUGAACCAAUUUUUUAAUGGAAAUGAUGACCGUGGCAUAUGAGGCUCGCAUGGCACAUAUCCAAUUCUUAUUACAUCUUGAUGAAUACGAGAAAGCUCUACGAUUUCUUGAGGAGGAGAGGAAUUUUCCUCGAUGUGAAGGAAGACUAUAUCUUUACCAGGCUGUGGUGCAUACAAUGUUGGACAAGGAUGAUAAUGCUGAAAAAUGGUGGAAUAAGUACCUAGAAACCCUUGGCAAUGGCAACGUAAAUGAAAAUUUAAAAAUGAUUGAUUGUACAAAUACAAAUUCAGAGAGCUCUUUGAAGGGUGCUAAAGACUUAUUGAAACCAUUGUUGAGCUUAAAACCAGCAAAGGAGGAAAAAAACUCAGUCCUCUCCAACAUUAUUCCCAUUAAGAAUAUGGCAUUGAAGAAGGUGGUGAAUGGAGAAUAUGAUUUAGCAGAAUGCCUUAUGAAAUGCCCAAGCUGACCUUGCUAGAAACUCAGAGGAGGCAUUGGAGGCACAAAUAGCAUUCUCCACAUUCUUAUAUAUCUUGAUAAAUAUGAAGAAGCUCUAAAACGUCUCAGUGAGAACCAGAAUCAGUUUCCUCCAACUGAUGCAAGACCUUGCUUUACAAGGUAAUACCUUUUUUUCUCUUUUAAAGAACCAAAAUAUGGGGGGGACAUUGUUUCUUU